rnacentral:rRNA from 1 species
GGCCUAACACAUGCAAGUCGAACGGCAGCACAGUAUGUAGCAAUACAUAUGGGUGGCGAGUGGCGGACGGGUGCGUAAUGUGUAGGGAUCUGCCCUGAAGUGGGGGAUAACCCGGGGAAACUCGGGCUAAUACCGCAUAAUACUCUACGGAGGAGAUCUGGCACGCAAGUGUUGGGGCUUUGGGAUGAACCUACAUCCGAUUAGCUAGUUGGCGGGGUAACGGCCCACCAAGGCGACGAUCGGUAGCUGGUCUGAGAGGACGACCAGCCACACUGGAACUGAGACACGGUCCAGACUCCUACGGGAGGCAGCAGUGGGGAAUAUUGGACAAUGGGGGCAACCCUGAUCCAGCCAUGCCGCGUGGGUGAAGAAGGCCUUCGGGUUGUAAAGCCCUUUUGUACGGGAAGAAAAGCUGCGGGUGAAUAUCCUGUAGUCAUGACGGUACCGUAA